AUUGAACGCUGGCGGCAUGCCUUACACAUGCAAGUCGAACGGUAACAGGUCUUCGGAUGCUGACGAGUGGCGAACGGGUGAGUAAUACAUCGGAACGUGCCCGAGAGUGGGGGAUAACGAGGCGAAAGCUUUGCUAAUACCGCAUACGAUCUCAGGAUGAAAGCAGGGGACCGCAAGGCCUUGCGCUCACGGAGCGGCCGAUGGCAGAUUAGGUAGUUGGUGGGAUAAAAGCUUACCAAGCCGACGAUCUGUAGCUGGUCUGAGAGGACGACCAGCCACACUGGGACUGAGACACGGCACAGACUCCUACGGGAGGCAGCAGUGGGGAAUUGUGGACAAGGGGCGCAAGCCUGAUCCAGCCAUGCCGCGUGCAGGAUGAAGGCCUUCGGGUUGUAAACUGCUUUUGUACGGAACGAAAAGACUCUGGUUAAUACCUGGGGUCCAUGACGGUACCGUAAGAAUAAGCACCGGCUAACUACGUGCCAGCCGCCGCCGUAAAAC
rnacentral:rRNA from 1 species